AUACUUACCUGACGCGAGAGGCACCUUGAUCAACUAGGAGGUCCUCUCAGGAUGAGGCCCUUUCAUUGCACUUCGACUGGGUUGACUCUUGCGAUUACCCCUAAUGUGGGUAACUCGAGUGUAUAAUUUGUGGUAGUGGGGACCUGCGUUCGCGCUCGUCCCCU
rnacentral:snRNA from 1 species